AUGGAAGCCUCUACCACCAACACGACCACGCCACCGGCGGCAGCCGCCAGCAAGCGGAGGCGGAAGGCGGCGCUGCCCCUAGGGGAUCUGACCAACCUCCUCCCGAGCACCCCAGCCCCGAGAAACCCUAGCGCCAAGCGGCCCCUCCGGCCGCCGCGCCCCGACGCCUCCGCGUCGGCCACGCCCGUCUCCAAGGCCUCUUCCGCCGCCGCUGUUGAGGAGCCGGGUUUGGUGAAAUCGCCCAUCUCGACGAUUUACACGAGUCGAGCGACUCGGGGGAGGAGAAAUCCCACCAGUGUCAAGGUGCCCUUUCCAACUGGAGCAGUAGCAAGUUGCCCCCCUCUUGGGAAAACUACAAGGGCCAGCAGUCACUCAACUAAAAAAGCCCCAGCGGCUCAGGAUCCUCGUCCUAUUUCAUCCUCAGCUCCUUGUCAUCAAGCUAAAAAGAAGAAGAGGCACUUGGGCGUGGAGAACUCAUCUUCUGGCAGACCCAAGUUACCAGAUGAUUUCGUCGAGAAGCACAAAGCAUACUUCCAGGAGAUCGACGCCUUUGAACUGCCAGUGGAAGAGGUCUCAGAAACUGACUGA
rnacentral:rRNA from 1 species